rnacentral:tRNA from 1 species
GGGUCGUUAGCUCAGUUGGUAGAGCAGAGGACUUUUAAUCCUUUGGUCGCAGGUUCGAAUCCUGCACGACCCACCA